rnacentral:rRNA from 1 species
UACGUAGGGGGCAAGCGUUGUUCGGAAUUACUGGGCGUAAAGGGCGCGUAGGCGGCUUUUCAAGUCGGGCGUGAAAUCUCCGGGCUUAACCCGGAAGGGUCGUUCGAUACUGUUGAGCUAGAGUGUGGAAGAGGCAACUAGAAUUCCGUGUGUAGCGGUGAAAUGCGUAGAUAUACGGAGGAAUACCUGAGGCGAAGGCGGGUUGCUGGGCCAACACUGACGCUGAGGCGCGAAAGCCAGGGGAGCAAACGGG